rnacentral:lncRNA from 1 species
AACAAGGGCAGUCAAAUAAGUCAUCUGCUAGGUGCCCUUGUAGUAAAUAAUACCAACAGCGGAAAAAGUCAUCACUUAAAGGGACACUAUAAUCACCAAAACAACUUUAGCUUAAUAAAGCCAUUUUUGGUGUAUAGAACAUGUCCCUGCAGCCUCACUGCUCAAUUAUCUGCCUUUUAGGAGUUAAAUCACUUUGUUUAUGAACCCUAGUCACACCUCCCUGCAUGUGACUUGCAUGGCCUUCCUAAAAACUUCCUGUAAAGAGUCAUCUAAAGUUUAUCCUUUAUUUAUUGCAAGUUCUGUUUCAUUUAGAUUUUCUUAUCCCCUGCUAUGUUAAUAGCUUGCUAGACCCUGCAAGAGCCUCCUGUAGGUGAUUAAAGUUCAAUUUACAGAGCAAGAGAUAAAACUGUUUAAGAUAAAUUACAUCAUAUUGAAAGUGAAACCAGUUUUUUUUCAGGCAGGCUGUGUCAAUCAUAGCCAGGGGAGGUGUGGCAAGAGCUGCAUAAACAGAAACAAAGUGAUUUAACUCCUAAAUGGUAGUGAAUUGAACAGUAAAACCUGAAAGGCAUGAUCUAUACACUAAAACAGCUUCAUUAAGCUAAAGUUGUUUAGAUGACUAUAGUGUUCCUUUAAAUCAUCUGCACUACACAAAAGAUCAAGAUAUUUGAAUGUGCAAUAUUUUAGCGCCAUUUUCCAUGUUAUAAAAACCAGAGAGCUGUGCAUCUAUCUAAAAUCGCUGUAAUGAAAUUGCACUACUGGUUUACAGUACGCAAUGCCAAAUUGUUUCAAGAUAUAGAAAGUAAGUAUCCCAUGACCUCUGACUUCCUGAGACAUACAGGGAGAGUGAAAAACAGACAGAUAGGAUGUCUGCACACAUACACAGUGUACAGGCACCACACUGCCUCCCCAUUCCUACAGAGAUGGCUAGCUGGUAUACAGACCACUCUGCCAGUAUAUUCCUAAUGCUGGAUUACCGGCCGGUGACAUCACAGCCGGAAUGGCAAGAGUAUUGUGCAGCCUGAGGGCAAUUGCACCCUGGCCCAGCCCACCCUUGUCAGAGGAUGUUAUAGUAUUAAGACGCACAUUUGUAUAGAGUAAAUGCAGAUGUUACAUCAUAACAUCAACUGCAAACAUUACAGGAGCACCAGCUGGGGUCUUUCUCACUUAUUAAAAGUAGAGCUGUCAACUUUGCAUUGAUAUCACCUGUUACUGCUAAGAAUAAGUAUACAGAAAUAUGUGUCACUGGAGAUAAAAUUAAAAUGUUGUAGAUAAAGGACUACAAAGUACAAAUUUGAAAUGUUUCUUCUCAAUGUCACCACCAUCGAGUGGUCGUUUGAUGACAGAGCAGUGUAGAAAAGAUUACAAAGUGCGUACUGUAGCUGCUGAAAAAGAGAUUGAUUUAUUUGACACAGUAAUAGAUUGCAUGUUGUUACGAUUUCUCCUUAAUACAUUAAUUUGCAUGUCUUGACAUGUGUCUGUAUUUCCUCCUUCACUUCAUUCUUAUAAAGUUCUGUGCAUAUUGUAUGCUUUUGGUCAAACUAUAAAUAUGUGCAGGGUAAAAUAUUAUUUUAAAGUAUAUAUCUAUAUGAUAUUAACUUGGAAUAAGCCUAUUCUUUAUUUACAAUCACAAUUCCAAAGGUCAGCUUUCCAAUAAAUGUAGUAGAACAGAAGUCCAGCAAAGAAACAAUAAACUCACUACGCUGAUAACAUGUCUGGUGCUUUUCCUUUACAGAUGACAUCUGGAUCAGAAAUGUGAUCUAGAGUUUGAUAACUCUGUAUCUGGAUUACAGCUGACACAUUCUUUCCUACUCAUCUGCAUCAGACAAAAGGCUUUUAUCUGUAUGCUAUUCUAAUUAAAAUUAUUUCCCUAAA